rnacentral:tRNA from 1 species
UGCGGGGUAGAGCAGUCUGGUAGCUCGCAGGGCUCAUAACCCUGAAGUCGUGGGUUCAAAUCCUACCUCCGCAC